rnacentral:rRNA from 1 species
AUUGAACGCUGGCGGCAUGCCUUACACAUGCAAGUCGAACGGCAGCGCGGACUUCGGUCUGGCGGCGAGUGGCGAACGGGUGAGUAAUACAUCGGAACGUACCCUGUUGUGGGGGAUAACUAGUCGAAAGAUUAGCUAAUACCGCAUACGACCUGAGGGUGAAAGUGGGGGACCGCAAGGCCUCACGCAGCAGGAGCGGCCGAUGUCUGAUUAGCUAGUUGGUGGGGAAAAGGCCCACCAAGGCGAAGAUCAGUAGCUGGGCUGGGGAGACGAACAGCCACCAUGGGACUGGGAAACGGCCCAAAUCUCUACGGGGGGCAGAAGUGGGGAAUUUUGGAAAAUGGGGGCAACCCUGAUCCAGGAAUGCCGGGUGUUUGAAAAAGGCCUUUGGGUUGGAAAGCACUUUUGUCCGGGAAAAAAUCGCGCUGGUUAAUACCUGGCGUGGAUGACGGUACCGGAAGAAUAAGCACCGGCUAACUACGAGCCAGCCGCCGCUGUAA